rnacentral:rRNA from 1 species
GAUAAACGCUGGCGGCGCACAUAAGACAUGCAAGUCGAACGAACUUAACCCUUGCUUGCAAGGGAGCGGUUAGUGGCGGACUGGUGAGUAACACGUAAGAAAUCUGCCUAUCAGAGGGGAAUAACAGUGAGAAAUCACUGCUAAUACCGCAUAUGCCAUAGGGUUCGCAUGAACCUAGUGGGAAAGGAGCAAUCCGCUGAUAGAUGAGCUUGCGUCUGAUUAGCUAGUUGGUGGGGUAAAGGCCUACCAAGGCGACGAUCAGUAGCCGGACUGAGAGGUUGAACGGCCACAUUGGGACUGAGAUACGGCCCAG